ensembl:lncRNA
CCGGCCUGCGACGGUACACCGCCUCCGCACCACCGUUUAAACAUGAAGUGUGGAUGUUAGAAGAUCCCAAAUAUGUGUGUCUUUUGUCCCCUUUUUCGUCUCCUCAUCCCCAAAGGGUCGCAGCGGGCUGCCCCUCCCUGACCGUGGUUCUGCCAGAGGGUGCUUCCUGUUAAAAGAAAUAGUCAGGACCCAGAUGAACCUGUGCUGGAAUUCAGUGUGGGCUUUCUACUUACAGGGUGGUGGGUCUCAGAGGACAAUUGCUACCCCUGUUGAAGUGAACAACGUGUGGAGUGCAACUGGCUUUGUGGCAUAGCUGGCUCUGGCCUUGGACUGUGUGUUUUUACUUUGUACCUAAAUGGGACACUGGACUUUUAACUACUAUUCAUUGUGUUUAUAAAUAAAAUUUUAGAAUUUUAUUGACUGUCAUCUUUUUGCCCACGGUUGGUCAGACCUAGAAUCUCUUUGUGUGUGUGUGU